rnacentral:lncRNA from 1 species
AUUUAAUUCUUGUUUACAAUGGGUCCAAAUCCUACCUAAGUGAGCUUUGCAUUUUCUCCUUCGAGCUCAAUUCAGUGAAUUACCCUUAAUUUGUGAUCUCAAACCAAAGUAAAAAAAAGUCAUUACUCCCACAUAUAACAUCAUUAUCAAAUAUUUUAAUAUACAAAGUCUGAUCAAAAAGUAUUGGGAUUGGUGCAACAAAAAGAUUAUAACAUAUAUCAAUUCAGCAUUUAAUCUCCUUUGAAAUAGUCCCCUUCUGAAGCUACACGCUUUAUACAGUAUCGCUUGAAUUGAUGGAAGCAUUCUUGAAACUUCUUUUUUGAGGGAUAGCAAGCAGCUGCCUCGUUGCAUUGUCUUGGAUUUCUUUGACGUCUUGAAAUCUUAUUGGGGUCUUCCACUACAAAGACUAAGCUUUGGUUUUAGGAUUGUAGCCAUAGACCUAUGAUUUGUCAUCUGUUAUGACCGUUUUCAUCUUCCUCAACACAAUCAAGGAGACCCUGUGCAACUGAAACCCGAUCUUUUUGAGACGACCACACUCUACACUUUAUUUCCAAGCACAGCUAAAAACAAUAGAAGUCAAGGAGAACAUUACAACUUACUGCACAACAGAGUUAAAAGUCAAUCUGUGCCAAGCGGCUUCACUUUGCAUACUUAGGCUCUAUUACUACAGCAACAAUCGUGAUACUUUUUGAUCAAACCUUGGAUAUUUAUUCUUCUGUUGACUGAAACAUGGUGUUGUUCCUUCCAUGUCAACCCUAAUCAAGCAAACCUAUGAUCAAAGGUUUUCCAGUUGUGACCAUUUUUUUUUUUUUUUUUCGUAAGGGAUACACUGGAUAACAUUCUCAAGUGUUUUUUUUUUCUUUUGAAAAGGCAAAGCUGAUUUAGGAGAGAUUUAACUGCUAUUUCUAGCAGGGGCCUCCAACACUGAUGGAAACGAGAAAAGUUUUCCUUAAACUGGAAACUCAGUCUGAAUACUUAGAAUGAAGUGAACACCACUGAAGGUAUCCAAGGAUCAGAUGGUGCUAUUGAAGCAAUGGAUUAAAUCUAACCUACCAAAGUGAAGCAUGGGGAUUCUUAGAUUAGUACUAAAAGGAUUAAUUCAAUGUUUUAUUAUAUCUACCACUUCACCACAUAAUUUUGCCUACAUCAGUUAAGUAGGAAUAAACUGUAGUUACUAUAACAUUAUCAAGGAAUAAGCAAUUUAUCUGGCAUUAACAUCAGUUUAGGUUGUAAAUCAUUUAUACCUGUCCCACUAACUACAGAUAAGUCUGAGAUCAAAGUACAAGAAAAAGAAGUUCCAACAGUCAUCAGCGACAUUAAUUAGGCUGAUUACAAAUACGCCUAUUUUUGCUAAUGACACACACACACACACACACAAACAGUUGAAUCAAAACAUUGUUAUCUGUCCUUGAUCUACUAUCCUUCCAAAAAUAAUGAGAACCACUAACACUGCUCCACUAUCUCUUAUCUUAAACCACCCCAAAAGUUUGCACUACCAUUACAAACAAAGCCACAAUUUGAAAACAAACAUCACCAAAACAAAUGCCUGACCCAACAAUGAAUUACAUCAAAACAAAAUCUAUAUUCCACUUCAAUAUUUAUCUUUAUUUUGACAUAACACUUCUAUAACUCAUUUUUGUAUUAGACUCGCAAGAUUCUUGCUGUGAACUCGAGUGUUGAAACAUAUUUUGUUGCGUCUUGGGAGGUCAUUAUGCCAAUAAACACAUGUACUGGUUCCAUUUCA